AAAGAAGACAUAAUAAUCCAUAGAGGAAAGGGAAAUUAGGGUGCUAAGAAUUUCUUGGUCUAUGUCUUUUAGAAGGGAUUUCACAAACUGAACCAGAAGUGGCAUUGAAGUUGAAAAUGAUUGAAGGUCUGCCCUGAAUGUGUGCCUUUAUCUGAUCACAUCUGGCAAAGCCUGUAAAAUAAGAGCAAGGAGAAAAGAGUCUUCAGAAAGUCCCUUUCAGAAAGCUUGUGAUGAGAUGAUGUGAGGGAUGGGGCAGUCUUACACUGGAAGCAAGAUAAUUGAUUUGAGUUUGUUCUGCCACUGCAGCUGGUUACAACAAGCAGCCUGCCCUCUGCAAGAGCAGAGCAAGAGCAGAGCAGGUCUGAGCACUUCUGCUGGGGUGAAGUUCUCUGGCUUUCAGUGUUUGCACAGUGAAUUCAAUGUCAACAUACACACAGACAGCAGAUCUCAGAGGAGUCAGAGGAAAGAAAGCUCCAGUGAUUUUUUUAUUGUUGAAACAAGCACUGCUUCUAACUCUGCUGGAAUGCAGCUGCACACUGUGUACUGGAAGCCUGGAUGCCAGGGAAGUGUUAAUCCCUGCAGUCGAGGAAUACUAGACAUGGAUACUUUAGUUUGUCUUCAUUUGUUUAGCUGGUCCUUGCCCCAGGCGGGGCCUAGACCAGGCUCAUGUGCUCAUUUGUGGCAACUUGAGGCAGUGAGAGCAAACUGGGGGAAAAUCCCUGCUCCUGUUCAUGGAUGCAGUCCAGCACCUGUGGCUCCGAAGUCCUGCUCACCCAUGUGUGAGCACCUUAGGCAGGGCUUUGACCCUCCCACCUGGCUUCCUGGUAAAUCUCUUAAAAAGCAAAUUCUUCAGCCUGGUGUGUGA
rnacentral:lncRNA from 1 species